CCUACAGUGCUUUGAAGGAGACACUGACGGUAUCACCAUGAGAACAUUACAUUAGCAUUACAUUAGGCUUAUAUUCCAAGGUUUAAAGCUAUCAAUUUCAUGUCAGCUUAUGAUGAGGUAUUUAUUGCAUCGGGUUUUUACGGUAAUGGAAAUCUCAAGAGAGACUCUGCAUGUUUUGUCAGAUAAAACUAAAAAUUUUAAGCACAAGGAAACAACCAUCCACCCUUAAAAACACGAACAUGUGUGUUUAAGAUGUCAGCAUUUGGUCUAGUUGGGUGCACCUGCACCUGGCUGGCCUGUGGCUGCAACCCACGUGCCCAAACACUUGUGCACAUAAACCCACAACUCAAAUACUGGAUGGCUCUUUCCAGCCUGGCUCUGAAGUAUUAGUGCAGGAAGGGAAAGGGUAUUUGGAGAAAUGAGAGACAAAUUGCCUCUGUCAAGUCUUCAAAUGCAGGACUAGGAGGGAACGGAAGGCGUGUGGAUAAUGGGGUGAUGAAAGGAACUUCCCCUGAGUAAUGAGGCUACAGCAAAUGCCCAGGGAGCCAUCCUGCAGCUGUUUGCCUCAUCUUCACUCAGGUCCUUGCUUAUUAUUCACAGCACAAGACGGGCUUUUUUCUCUCUUAUCAUGUUGGUGAAAUUAUAUAACCAUCCUCUCUAUGCUCCCAUUAUGUUCCAAACAUCACUAAAAUCCGGGUGGGAUUUCUCCAUUCAAAAAAAAAAAAAAAAGGCUCCAGAUCCCUGGCCUUGCUCAGUAGGUUAAGGAUCCAGUGUUGCUGUGGCUGUGGUAUAGGCCAGUAGCUGCAGCUCUGAUUCAACCCCUAGCCUGGGAACUUCCACAUGCUUUGGGUACAGCCCUAAAAAGAAAAAAAAACAAAAAACAAAAAAAAGAAAUUAAUGUUAGAAGUUUCCUUUGUGGCUCAGUGGUUAACGAAUCUGACUAGCAUCCAUGAGGACUCGGGUUCGAUCCCUGACCUCAUGCAGUGGGUUAAGGAUCCGGUGUUGCUGUGGCUGCGGUAUAGGCCAGUAGCUGCAGCUCUGAUUCAACCCCUAGCCUGGGAACUUCCCCAUGCUUUGGGUACAGCCCUAAAAAGAAAAAAAAAAAACCAAAAAAAAAACCAAAAAAAAAACCAAAAAAAAAAAAAAAAACCAAAAAAAAAAAAAAAAACCAAAAAAAAAACCAAAAAAAAAACCAAAAAAAAAACCAAAAAAAAAAAAAAAAGGCUCCAGAUCCCUGGCCUUGCUCAGUGGGGUAAGGAUCCGGCGUUGCCGGGAGCUGUGGUGUUGCCGAGAGCUGUGGUGUAGGUCGCAGAUGCUGCUUGGAUCCCACUUUGUUGUGGCUGUGGCCGUACGCCAGUGGCUACAGCUCUGAUUCGACCCCUAGGCUGGGAACUCCAUAUGUCGUGGGAGCGGCCCAAGAAACGGCAAAAAGACAAAAAAACAAAAAACAAAAAAAAGAAAUUAAUGUUAGAAGUUUCCUUUGUGGCUCAGUGGUUAACGAAUCCGACUAGGAACCAAAAGGUUGCGGGUUUGAUCCCUGGCCUUGCUCAGUGGGGUAAGGAUCCGGCGUUGCCGUGAGCUGUGGUGUUGCCGAAAGCUGUGGUGUAGGUCGCAGAUGCUGCUUGGAUCCCACGUUGUUGUGGCUGUGGCCGUAAGCCAGUGGCUACAUCUCUGAUUCGACCCCUAGGCUGGGAACUCCAUAUGUCGUGGGAGCGGCCCAAGAAACGGCAAAAAGACAAAAAAACAAAAAACAAACAAAAAUAUCUGUUAACAAAUAUUAGAAAUGACAACACCAGAUCCUUAACCCGCUGAGCCACAAGGGAACUCCUUUAUCUUUUUUCUUUAAGGACUGAGCAGUCUCCCUUCUU
rnacentral:lncRNA from 1 species